rnacentral:pre_miRNA from 1 species
AUUGUACUCCCUCCAUCCGGAAAUACUUGUCAUCAAAAUGAAUAAAAGGGGAUGUAUCUAGAUGUAUUUUAGUUCUAGAUACAUCUUUUUUUAUCCAUUUUGAUGACAAGUAUUCUCGGACGGAGGGAGUAUUAC